AAAAAAAAAAAAAAAAAAAUUUAAACAUGUUUUUUUUAUAUUUAAAAGCGUCUCUUAAAACAUCACUUCUUAUAUACCGCCGCUUAUGCCAAGCGUCGAUAAAAUAUAUUAUGAUGUUUUAAAGUGUCAGAAUUUUUAAGAAUUUUUUUGAAAUUCUAACGCUUUAAAGUGUCAAAAAUUAAAAAUAAUAAUGAAGUAUAUCAUCUAAUAAAUUGGUUUGUUGUAAUAGAGGGUUUUAUAUGACGACGCUUUUUGAAAUAUCGUUGUUAAGUGUUAUUUAAAAAACAUCCUUAUAUCGAAAGAUUUUUAUAGUGCCAUUUAAUUGUAACUGCACAUUUGCGUAUUGUAAAAAAUGAACCAAGUGGCUAACUAAAGGCACCCACUAACAGUAUAUUCGUGCAACGCAUCGCUAUUUCAAUACAACCAAAAUUUGUUGUGUUAUAAAGAAAUUGGUGGAAAUUGGUGGACAAUUAGUGGAUUGACGUUUGUAGAGGUGACUGGAGUAAACGAGGAGACCAGUCCACGAAACAGGUCGAAUUAUUGGAUGCUAAUUUUUUACAAUAAAAAUGUAAGGAGACCGCUCACCAAUUGUAUAUUCUGAAAUAGCUCCCUUAAGAUUUUUAAAAAAGAAAUACUAUACAUACACUCUAAACCUUCGUUUGGUUCGGGUAUAAGUAAGAACUAGUUAUACCGAGAAUAGUUAUAAGUAUGAAUUUUCGUAGAAAUAAGUGUAUUUCUUUAUUUGGAUGAAAAUAUGAGUAUAAAGUGGAACUAAAAAAAUCAUAUUUGGAUGAAAAAUAUGAGUAUAAUAUGGAAUAGUCGGUAGUUAUAAAUAGAAAAUAAUGAUAUUACCUUUAUAAUUGAAUUUAAAUUUUUAAACCCAAAAUUUUAAAUUGAAAAUUUUAACUUUUACAUUUUAAAAUUUGAAAUUAAAUUUAAAAUUUUAAUUUUCAAAUUUUUAAUUUUAAAUAUCUAAUUUUAAAUUUAAGAUCAAAUUUAUAUCUGAAAGAUAUAAAAUAUCAAAUUUAAAAUUUAAAAACUAAAAAUAUCAUAUUUAAAAUUUAAAAAUUAAAAAUAUCAAAUUUAAAAUUUAAAAAUUUAUAAUUUAUAAUUUAUAAUUAUAAAUUUUAAAUUUUAAAAAUUAAAAUUCAAAA
rnacentral:lncRNA from 1 species